GCUGGAGUUGGACAACCUGGUCGUCCACUGGUCUUGAGAACCAGCACCCGCAAGGGUAUGUGGGUUCAAAUCCCACCUCCAGCG
rnacentral:tRNA from 1 species